UCCCUGACCCAUAAUACUUCAGCUGAUUUGGACUCACUCACUCGUAAUAUUUAUUUUAACAUCACUUUGGCAUGUGUGCGUACUAGUUUAACUAGUAACUUUUUCUACAAUGUUGGUAACCAGCUGAAAGUCGGCAGUAAUACUGGCAGAAUUUUGGGCUUUACGUCAUGUUCGUAUCUUAAUUACUAGUAAUUUUUUUUUGAUCAUUUAAACUGACCUAGACAUAUUGGUCAACUGACAGAUGUUGCUUUGUCACAUGUUCCUUAAGCACUUCUCAAUCAUGUAUGUAAAUUAUGGGGUGGAUGGGGGGUUGUAACCCCGAACCCCAAUGAUCAAAACCAGCCAACACAACCCCAGGACCCCCUUAAAUGGGUGGCGACCUGAACCCAAAAGUACUCAACACUAAUGUCAUGUAACAUUGUAAAUGUAGAAAGGGCCUGUCACAGCAGCUGAUGAGCUGUAAAUGUCAUCCUGUAUACAUUUUGUAUUAGAAUGUUUACUCUAUUGAAAUAAUGGAACCACUGUGUUAUGGAGGCACAAUGAUGCCUAGCUUUAACUACUGACCUAAGGUUUGGAUUGAAUCUGACAAUUACCAUUGCCCAUGGCUGAAUAAGGCCAACUAGGAGCAUAUAGGCCUGGAAUUGCAUUUUUUUAAUUAAAAGUACCAUUGUGGGCCUGUGUAUUUUUUUGCUGCAGUAUAUUUAAUAUUUAACAUGACAUACAUGCUAACGUGAGUAGUAAAUCUGAGUGGAACCCAAAUUAAAUGUAAAGAGUAAUUCAUGAAAAAAUCCAAGCGCACUAUGAUGCGCAGUGAGCUGCUUGGGCGUGUUCCGUGUCGCGCACCGGCCGCUUGUCUGCCGGAAACCAUCAGGCCCAUUUAACCUGGUAGGUGAUGGUGGCUUCGCUUCUCCCCAAAUCUGCUUCAGUCCUCAGACUCCGGUCUGUACUGCCGCAGUGUAAAGGAUGAUGUUUGCCGACAUGAAGCCAUAUUGGAUGAAUUUGCUAUUUCAUAACGCGUGAAUGUGUAGCUGGAGAGAGCGACGAGCUCUCCGCCCGUCAUCUAAGUUCCAAAGAGCGUUUUGAUAUUUUUUAUUAUUUACGUUUUAAUUUUAUGAUGUAAUUUAAUGGUUUACGUAGCGUUUAUUUCGGUUGUUGUGGUAUCUAACGAGCCGUAGCUUCUGCAAGUAUAACAUCGAGUUUUACUAUUUACAUAACAGAUGUCAGUUUGUACAUUUUUUCCAUUUAUUUCCUUCUCCCUGCACGGAAUCUGUUACAAUUUAUUAUGUCUCAUAGUAAACAUAAGUUGAAAACAGACACGCAUAGAAGCAAAGUAAAGGAGGUCGGCUUAACUGAAAAGUGAGAAACAUCAAACCGUGUUUUAUUUAUCGUUUUUAUUAUUUCCAGGGUCGAGUUAGGACUAAAACGGUGAAAGCUGUAUGGGUGUUAAUUGAGAAGAACUACACCCACCUUGUUAACGAUUUCCACGAUUUGCAAUGAGGUCGCCGUAAUCUCCAGGAGGCAGCUGCGCAACAAGAUCGCUGCGAGUGCAAAGCUGGGCGGGGCUGCUGCGCGCGGACUGGUCGCCUGUGAGUGCUUUGGGACGGGAGAGGAGUCCACGGCAGAACCCGCUCACCGGUGAGAAGAGUAAUAACGAUACGUGCUUUCAUGUCAGAGUCUCCAAUAACAUCAGAAAAAGUGACUAUAUUUGUCGCUAGUCGCUUUUUUGAAAAGGAGUCACUAGCGGGCAGUGAUGGGCAGUAACGCGUUACAGUAAUUAGAUUACUUUUUAAGUAACGGAGUAAUCUAACGGCGUUACAUUUUAGAAGGCAGUAAUCAGAUUAUAGUUACUACCCGACUAACGCGUCGUUACUAUUGUGUUGCAUUGAAGACGUCAGAUUAGCCAGUUUUAUGCAAAAAUAAUAAUGAAAUACAGUUGCAAAAAUCAUCAAGCAGCCGCACACGGCGCUACGUAACGUCAUCAAUCCGAGACGCAGCCACACAAACACUGCAGCAUGGAGAGACCACCGGAGGGAGAAAAGGGCGCUUUUUACUCGUGGAAAUACAAACAUUAUUUUAAAUUUGUUGAAACUAAGGGCAAAAACAUAGUUGUACAGUGUGUCUUAUGUGCGGGAGACAAAAGAUUUUCAAACGCUAAGAGUUCGACUUCAAAUCUAUCUAAACAUCUCAAAGGACAACACGGUGCUGUUAGGCUAGUGGAGAAAGCGGGGUCAGUCCCCGACACAGACUCGGAUUCAUCUUUUCCUGCAACUAAACAGCUCAGACUAGACUUUUCAAGUCAAUGCUUCCCAUAUCCACAGUGGACUCGCCGUAUUUUCGCGGUUUAAUCGUCAAAAUACCCACACGGAAUAAUGCACGGCUGCCUCAGAGAAAAACAUUUUCUAACUAUUUAGAUAAGGAAUAUGCUACAAUGGAGGCCAAUCUGAGGGCCGCACUGCAGGCGGUAAACUUUGUGUCGACUACUGCGGACUUUUGGACAUCUCAUAAUAAGAGCUAUAUGGGGGUUACUAUACACUGGUUCAAUCCAUGCACUCUAAGCACUAAAGAUACACUCUCCAGGAUGACAGCUGGCCUGCCAGAUGUCAUUGUAAAGGCCAUUCAGACUCAUUUUGCUGAUGUUCUUGAGAACAAGGAUGCCCUCCUGGCUGCUGUUAGCUGUCCACAGUUCAAGCUUCGCUGGGUGAGGGAUGACAGAAGACAGCGGCUGAAGGAGCUCCUCAUUGCAGAGUGUGGUACAGUUCCUCCAGUAGAUGGCAUCAUCUCUGGACCUGGAGACGAUUGAGGUGGAUCCUGACACUAAGCACACGCCCCAGCCUCUGGAAUGGCACACAUCUAUGUGAGAACUUUGGUGACUUGUUGGUCGCACAGCCGACCUGGGAUGAACUUCAAAACCCCCAGAGGUCUAUAGACCUUGGUGAUCUACCCCCUGCUAGGCUGAGCAGUUGCUGCUUGGAACAAGGGCUCCUGGGGGCGGUUCCUGCUGGAUUCUGUUCCUCCCAGCCUCUGCCAUCAGUGAGCUGUUAUGAUAGACUAUGGACCCUAUGGGUGCAUAGGAUAUAUCUAUGGAUAAUUUGGUCACUCCAGUUAAUGUCAGCAUGUUUGUGGUCUGGGGGAGAAUAUGCAAGAUUCUGUUCCUCCCAGUAAUUUUAAAAAAAUUAAUUCAAAGAAAAUACAUCAGGUAUAGGUAACUAACUAGACUAAUGGUUAGCACCGUCGUCUAAUGUCUGGGAUCUGGGUUCUCGUGGAUCCAUGCGUAUUUAAAUCAUGGGGUGCCACACCCAUGGAGCCAUGGUGGACUUGAACCCAGGUCCCAGAGGUGAGAGGCAACGGUGUUAACCACUAGUCUACCCACCCACUGUCCCUGCGAUGUAUUUUUUAAAAUUUAUUUUUUCACAAAUGCUACCUGUAAGGAUGAUUUAAAUACGCAUGGAGCCACGAGAACCCAGGUCCCAACCUACUGAGCCACACAUUCCUCCCAGUGAACCACUGCUUCUGCAGUUUAGCUUAAAACACUGGUUAAAUGUCUUAAACCAAAAAAACAAAAAAAAAAACACACAGAUGCACAGAGAAACAAGCUUAUGGCAGGUAAUAGUUCAAUAUAAAAUGUAUUGGAGCACCAAUACUAAAUAAGAACAUGAUUUUUUUUUUCUUCCAUUAUUUUUUUUUUAAAAAAGCCACAGAAUUCUCUACAGAAAGCAAAAAGAUCUUUGUACAGACAGAAGCAACAACUGAAUUCCUCAUCUGCAACACAAAACCUGCUCCAUUUCAAAACGGCAAAACGGAAACAAAGUAGCCCAGCUGCCAACUGCUAUAACCUAUAACACUAGAGUUACACAAAACAUACUUAACAUCUUAAACACAGGAUAUGUAAGAAAUGUGGGAAAAGUGCAAUACAGGUUUGACAACAACUCAUUUCCUGUUGGGGAUGGGGGUCAUUUUUCUCCUCAGCUUUAACAAAUGUUUUAGUAUCCUUAAGCAAAGUUUCUUACAGUAAUAUUAACAUUCGGGAAAUACACGUGGGGGGGUCACAAAGAAACUGAUUGUGAACACAUUUCUCCUUGGGUAAAAUGCCAAAAAUGAACCAGUUUGUAACAUGAAUGAAUCGUCCUGUUUUUAAAACAAUGAAACCACUUUA